CAAUAUAAUUUGCAACAAUAAUGACGUCCAACACGCUUGUCACACGUUGUUUCUUAACAACGUUCUCCACUCGGAUUAGACUUCCUAUCAAACCUAACAAUUGUUCUUUGUUCUACUUUAUCCUACUAUACCAACCACUAGGUAUCAAACUAUCAAUUCAUUUUCUCCGUUUAACUAAUUUUCUUCUGCUCCGGCAUCUCCAAAAGCUGCAACCAAGAAGAGUAACCAAAAAGCUUCCAUUUUUUUUCAGGUCGAGGAAGAGUAUGGGUCACCACCACCACCCUCACCACCACCCCCACCACCACCACGAAGGCGGCCGUCCAUACGAUGAUCCAAUCCUCGCAUGUUGUUGCUGCCCAUGUUUCCUAGUCUCCUCAGUGUUCUCCGUGUUCAGGAGAUGUCUGUUUGUUGCCUGUUAUCCUGUGCUGCAAUGCUUUGGGUGGGAUGAACAUAGGCACCACCACCACCACAGGCAUUUCUAUUAGCUUUUAACUUCAACCACCUUAAAACCCGUCAAGUUAAAGUAAUUUAUCCUUCCAUAGUUCUGUUACACGAAAGUGUAAUGAUUCUGGAUGGAGAAAAUUUCGUCUUUGUGGGCAAAUUUAGCGUUUAGGCUUUAGCUUCAUCUUCCAUUUUUUUAGUUUCUAAACUUGUGAUUCAUGUCAACCAAGACAAUCAUUGAAACUUGUAGUCCAUAUUUUCUGGUGUAUCUGAAUGAUGAUUUGAUUGUUGUAAUCUAUGGUGAAUUUUAGUAAUUUUGCUAAUUUUGAGGUCAAAGGGAAGAUGACGACCACUUCUUGGUGCCACAACGUUCCAAAU